rnacentral:rRNA from 1 species
UACGUAGGGUGCGAGCGUUAAUCGGAAUUACUGGGCGUAAAGCGCGCGCAGGCGGCUCUUUAAGUCUGAUGUGAAAGCCCACGGCUCAACCGUGGAGGGUCAUUGGAAACUGGAGAACUUGAGUACAGAAGAGGAAAGCGGAAUUCCACGUGUAGCGGUGAAAUGCGUAGAGAUGUGGAGGAACACCGAUGGCGAAGGCAGCCCCCUGGGCUAACACUGACGCUCAUGCACGAAAGCGUGGGGAGCAAACAGG